rnacentral:rRNA from 1 species
UGGGCCCUACGGGAGGCAGCAGUGGGGAAUAUUGCACAAUGGGGGAAACCCUGAUGCAGCGACGCCGCGUGAGUGAAGAAGUAUUUCGGUAUGUAAAGCUCUAUCAGCAGGGAAGAAAAUGACGGUACCUGACUAAGAAGCCCCGGCUAACUACGUGCCAGCAGCCGCGGUAAUACGUAGGGGGCCAGCGUUAUCCGGAUUUACUGGGUGUAAAGGGAGCGUAGGCGGCAAGGUCAGCCAGAAGUGAAAGCCCG